GGGGAUGUAGCUGAGUGGAGGAGCGCUUGCCUAUCAUGCAAGAGGUCCUGCGUACAAUCCUCAGUACUGCCA
rnacentral:tRNA from 1 species